rnacentral:rRNA from 1 species
UACGUAGGGUGCGAGCGUUAAUCGGAAUUACUGGGCGUAAAGCGUGCGCAGGCGGUGAUGUAAGACAGAUGUGAAAUCCCCGGGCUUAACCUGGGAAUGGCAUUUGGGACUGCAAGGCUCGAGUGCGGCAGAGGAGACUGGAAUUCCUGGUGUAGCAGUGAAAUGCGUAGAUAUCAGGAGGAACACCGAUGGCGAAGGCAGGUCUCUGGGCUGACACUGACGCUCAUGCACGAAAGCGUGGGGAGCAAACAGG